rnacentral:rRNA from 1 species
AGUGAACGCUGGCGGUAGGCCUAACACAUGCAAGUCGAACGGCAGCACAGGAGAGCUUGCUCUCUGGGUGGCGAGUGGCGGACGGGUGAGGAAUACAUCGGAAUCUACUCUGUCGUGGGGGAUAACGUAGGGAAACUUACGCUAAUACCGCAUACGAACUACGGGUGAAAGCAGGGGACCUUCGGGCCUUGCGCGAUUGAAUGAGCCGAUGUCGGAUUAGCUAGUUGGCGGGGUAAAGGCCCACCAAGGCGACGAUCCGUAGCUGGUCUGAGAGGAUGAUCAGCCACACUGGAACUGAGACACGGUCCGGACUCCUACGGGAGGCAGCAGUGGGGAAUAUUGGACAAUGGGCGCAAGCCUGAUCCAGCCAUACCGCGUGGGUGAAGAAGGCCUUCGGGUUGUAAAGCCCUUUUGUUGGGAAAGAAAUCCAGCUGGCUAAUACCCGGUUGGGAUGACGGUACCCAAAGAAUAAGCACCGGCUAACUUCGUGCCAGCAGCCGCAGUAA